rnacentral:rRNA from 1 species
GACGAACGCUGGCGGCGCGCCUAACACAUGCAAGUCGAACGAGCAAAGAGGAGCUUGCUUCUCUGAGCGAGUGGCGAACGGGUGAGUAACGCGUGAGGAACCUGCCUCAAAGAGGGGGACAACAGUUGGAAACGACUGCUAAUACCGCAUAAGCCCACGGGUCGACAUCGACCAGAGGGAAAAGGAGUGAUCCGCUUUGAGAUGGCCUCGCGUCCGAUUAGCUAGUUGGUGAGGUAACGGCCCACCAAGGCGACGAUCGGUAGCCGGACUGAGAGGUUGAACGGCCACAUUGGGACUGAGACACGGCCCAGACUCCUACGGGAGGCAGCAGUGGGGAAUAUUGCACAAUGGGGGAAACCCUGAUGCAGCGACGCCGCGUGGAGGAAGAAGGUCUUCGGAUUGUAAACUCCUGUUGUUGAGGAAGAUAAUGACGGUACUCAACAAGGAAGUGACGGCUAACUACGUGCCAGCAGCCGCGGUAAAACGUAGGUCACAAGCGUUGUCCGGAAUUACUGGGUGUAAAGGGAGCGCAGGCGGGAAGACAAGUUGGAAGUGAAAUCCAUGGGCUCAACCCAUGAACUGCUUUCAAAACUGUUUUUCUUGAGUAGUGCAGAGGUAGGCGGAAUUCCCGGUGUAGCGGUGG